rnacentral:misc_RNA from 1 species
GACAAUAUCAAAGGAAACAACAAUUUCAAAAAAUCCAUAAUUUGAACCUGUCAAACUCAAAUAAAGAGACCUCCACUCCCAACAAUUUGUACUGCCUCAGUUCUCAUUCAGGCUAUAGCAGGCAUGUCCUUGAGCCACGCAUCCAAUGGCUUCCCAAUUGAAUAAACGAUGAACCCGAUCCCCCUAAGCUUCUCUGCAUCCACCACAUUGCGCCCGUCGAAUAUAAAUGCCGGCUUUUGCAUGUUAUCGUAAAUCUUCUGGUAGUCCAGUUUCUUGAACUCAUCCCAUUCCGUCAUGAUGCACACACCGUGUGCGUCCUUGGUCGCUGCAUACGCAUCCCAUGUCACCGUCACCUGCUUCACAGAGCUCGGGCUCAUCGGCUGGAGGUGGAUCGGGUGGUCCCAAUCGAACUUGUUCAUCGCAAGGUCCCGCUGGAUCUGAUCCUCAGUC